GAUGAACGCUAGCGGCAGGCCUAACACAUGCAAGUCGAGGGGUAGCAGGAUUAAGCUUGCUUAAUUGCUGACGACCGGCGCACGGGUGCGUAACGCGUAUGCAACCUACCUUAUACUGGGGUAUAGCCCGGAGAAAUUCGGAUUAAUCCCCCAUAGUACUGUUUUACCGCAUGGUAAGGCAGUUAAAGCAUUGCGGUAUAAGAUGGGCAUGCGUCCUAUUAGCUAGAUGGUGAGGUAACGGCUCACCAUGGCUACGAUAGGUAGGGGGCCUGAGAGGGUGGUCCCCCACACUGGUACUGAGACACGGACCAGACUCCUACGGGAGGCAGCAGUGAGGAAUAUUGGUCAAUGGGCGCAAGCCUGAACCAGCCAUGCCGCGUGCAGGAAGAAUGCCCUAUGGGUUGUAAACUGCUUUUAUUUGGGAAUAAACCUCUUUACGUGUAGAGAGCUGAAGGUACCAAAUGAAUAAGCACCGGCUAACUCCGUGCCAGCAGCCGCGGUAAUACGGAGGGUGCAAGCGUUAUCCGGAAUCAUUGGGUUUAAAGGGUCCGCAGGCGGAUUUAUAAGUCAGUGGUGAAAUCCUAUCGCUUAACGAUAGAACUGCCAUUGAUACUGUAAGUCUUGAAUUCGGUCGGAGUGGGCGGAAUGUGUAGU
rnacentral:rRNA from 1 species